GGUAAUCCACUCUCUCCAAGAAGAAUAAGGCUCCAAUAUUGAGAAAGAAGAGAUAUCAGUUUAGAGGAGGGUAAUCCGCAACCUCUAAAAACACUAGCACACCUUCAAGAAGAGGGGUAAUCCACUCUCUAACAAGAAGGAACUAGCUCUGAUACUAGUGAAAAUGCAGUCUCGACAAACUGUCACGGACACAAAAUACAGACUUGAAAUCUAACAAGAAGUUCAAGAAGAAGUGGCAGAACUAGAUUAAACAGAUGACUACAAGAACAACACCAGAAAGGUGAGCUAGAACUCCAAGAGAUG
rnacentral:lncRNA from 1 species